UACGUAGGGUGCGAGCGUUAAUCGGAAUUACUGGGCGUAAAGCGUGCGCAGGCGGUUGUGCAAGACAGAUGUGAAAUCCCCGGCUUAACCUGGGAAUUGCAUUUGUGACUGCACGGCUAGAGUGUGUCAGAGGGGGGUAGAAUUCCACGUGUAGCAGUGAAAUGCGUAGAUAUGUGGAGGAAUACCGAUGGCGAAGGCAGCCCCCUGGGAUAACACUGACGCUCAUGCACGAAAGCGUGGGGAGCAAACAGG
rnacentral:rRNA from 1 species